CCUCCUCCCCUGGGGUCAUGGGCGGAGCACCAGAGUGGUGUUUGGGUCAGGCUACAGGAAUGCUCCCGCCAGCAGAAUUCUCAGAUGGAGAAAUCCCUCGUGCAGAGUCAAAGAUGCCCCACUGAGGCUGUUUAGCCUAGAAACACUUAGGAACCCACCGUGCUCCUAUGGCCAAGGUUACAGUGUCUCAUCAGACUGCUAGCACUUCAGGGCUGGGCUGCACAGCUGUGCUCAGCAAACGACACCACUGAGGACAGAGGCGGGACAUUCCCCAUGGUAGACAUUACUAUCUCCAUUCUAUGGAUCAGCUCACCGAGGCUCGAUGAGAGGACUCUCCCAAGAUCCUGCAGCCCUAAUCGGAACCUGGCUGCCUCUGAUUCCACAGCCUAGCCUCCACACACCACACUGCCUCCUGCCAUCCUCAGCUCUUGAUUCCUGGGACGAGAGGGAGAAGGAGGGGCUUUGAUAGGCUGGGUGGGGGUGGUGACUGGAGAGAGGAACUAAAAUUCCUAGAGAAUCUACGUUUAUCUAAUCCUGUUCAUAAUUUUAUGAGUGGAUAUUUUUAUCCCCAUUCUACAGAUAGGGAGCUCAGGCUCAAGGAAGCCAGGGGUCUGUGGGUGAAGUGAAUUCCCAGGCUUAGAUGGCUAGCCUAUGAGAGCAAUUUCACUGCAGCUCAAGUCCGUCUGCGGUCAAAGCCGGUACUGGUCCACUGAGCCAUGUCACUGCCGGGGCCAGCUGCCAGAAACAGGUUCCUGGGCAUUUCCUGUUUCCUCCAGGCCUGGACCAGUGCCCUAGCUCUUUGCAGGGCAUCUCUAGGAACUGGCCAGGCCCCCUCCCUGCUCUGCUAGGUGGAGGAGGAGGACAGACUUUAACAGUCACCUGGGACUCUGUCUUCAUGGUGCACACUGACAGGUGGUCUCCUGGGCAGCGUGACUCGCUUUAGGGGAAGGGGCUGCCUGCUCAGCAGGGUUCCAUCUCAGGCUGCUAAGUUGGUGAGGUUGUGAGGGUCUCAAACCCACUUCCCAGUUUUCUCUCAGCGCAGCCCGGUCAUGCAGGAGCAUGCAGGAAAGGCCUCCCUCGAGGGUCCCGCCAUGCAGUGUGGAUGGCUGGAUGGACACAGAUCAUGAGAUUGGAAGGGCCUCCAUGUCACCGGGCCUGAGAGGGCUCACCUACCUGGAGAGACUCCCCAUUCUGGAGGCCUUACCUUAAAGAGGGACAUUCACACUGAAGCAAACUUGAAAAGAGAGAACACGUACACAAAGAGAAGUUUACUUGGCCGGCAUUUCCCUCAUUGCCCUUGGCUUUCACUGAGGAUAGCUAGGUGUCUGGGGAGGCAGAUCUCCCCCUCUUCCACUGGCUUCCCCCAGUUCUAGCGCUGGAGCCCUGGGAGCCAUAAUCUCAGAGCCUAAUGCCUUUGUGGGCGCAAGAGUGUGCGGGAAAGAAACCUGGAGGGAGAAAAUACCUCCAAGAUCUGCACGGGCAUAUGAUGCCAUUCAACCACACCAAACCUGUCACUCUGCCCUCUCCAGUCCCUGAAGAAGAGAGAGGUCUCUGGGAUACAAAUGACAUCAGAUACUUAAAGAACUUGAAUACAUCUUUAAAGACCUGUACCUGAGAACUCUGUACGGAUCGACAUUAUUCGGCUUGAAAUCGGGCCAGAGACACCUGUUGCACAACGUCUUCCGCCACAGAGAUGCUGUCAUGGACGCAGGUGCACCACGCCUGUGUCUCUUGCCCGUCAUAGGCUCCUGCAGGUAGCAGGGAAGGACGCAGGGUCCAGAGCCCAGUAUGCAAGUGGCAGAAGUGACCCCAGCAUGGUUUGGGUUGGUUCUGCUGCCUCUGAAAUGCAGAGCUCCCUGUCAGGAAACACAAACAUGUCCCUGGACCACGGAAAGCAACUCAUGCUUCAACUCCCCACUGAGACCACCUGCAAUGCCUCCCUUUCAGCUGCAGCACAGGGUCAGAGGAGCAAGAUGCAGACUGAGAGAGACAUGAGCAAGCUGUGAACGACUGAGAGCAAGCGAGGGCCGUCUCACAUCAAGCACCGAGCACGGCGCGCCGAGUGAGACUUGAACAGAAUGUCGGUCUUCUUUAAAUUGUGACAAGGUCGAGUUCACCUGAGCCCUGUGCUUUUGGAAAAGAAACUACAGUUAAUAAAUCUCCCCAUUUUUUUGCAU